UACGGAGGGUGCGAGCGUUGUUCGGAAUCACUGGGCGUAAAGGGCGUGUAGGCGGUCCGCUAAGUCUGAUGUGAAAGCCCGGGGCUCACCCCCGGAAGGGCAUUGGAAACUGACGGACUCGAGUCCCGAAGAGGAGGGUGGAAUUCCUGGUGUAGCGGUGAAAUGCGUAGAUAUCAGGAGGAACACCGGUGGCGAAGACGGCCCUCUGGACGGUGACUGACGCUGAGACGCGAAAGCGUGGGGAGCAAACAGG
rnacentral:rRNA from 1 species